rnacentral:rRNA from 1 species
AAUGAACGCUGGCGGCGUGGAUUAGGCAUGCAAGUCGUACGAGAAAGCGGUUCUUAAUCGCGAGUAAAGUGGCGAACGGGUGAGUAACGCGUGGGAAACCUGCCCUCGAUGGGGGAUAACAUUUCUAACGGAAUGCUAAUACCGCAUAAUUUCACGGGUCGCAUGUCCCGUGAUCAAAGGUGGCCUCUGCUUGCAAGCUGUCGCUUGAGGAUGGUCCCGCGUCCCAUUAGCUUGUUGGUAGGGUAAUGGCCUACCAAGGCGACGAUGGGUAGCCGGCCUGAGAGGGUGACCGGCCACACUGGGACUGAGACACGGCCCAGACUCCUACGGGAGGCAGCAGUCGAGAGGCUUCGGCAAUGGGGGAAACCCUGACCGAGCGACGCCGCGUGGACGAUGAAGAUCUUCGGAUCGUAAAGUCCUGUCAUACGGGAUGAAAAACGGAUUGGUUAAUAGCCUUUCCGUCUGACAGUACCGUAAGAGGAAGCUCCGGCUAACUCCGUG